rnacentral:lncRNA from 1 species
UGUUCAGUAAUGAUCAUGCAGUGAGGAGGAACACAUGACCCAGAACAACAAGAUUGUUCUGAGAUUGGUGGUACCUUAGAACAAGUAAUCUUAAUCUUGCAUAAAAGGAUUUAGUAAACAAAUGGGAAAAAUUGAACUUUUGUAGAUCACAUACACAGAUGUAACGUGAGUGGACUAGAAGUGUAUAAGAUGAUUUAAAUUAUUUUGUUUCCCUUCUGUUUCCCCCAGGCUUUAGAAAAGACCUCCAGGACUUGGAAGCAGAUGAUAAAUCUUAUGAGCUCCACCCAGAAUCACAUGUGCAAAUAAAAAACCAUUUGAUAAAAAGGUCACAGAUUGGUGAAACCAAUGACAAGCUGUUUCCUUCAGCCAGCUCACAAACACCUGCAAGAGAGUAUGUCUACCA